rnacentral:rRNA from 1 species
UACGGAGGGAGCUAGCGUUGUUCGGAAUUACUGGGCGUAAAGCGCACGUAGGCGGCUUUCUAAGUCAGGGGUGAAAUCCCGGGGCUCAACCCCGGAACUGCCCUUGAAACUGGAUGGCUAGAAUCCUGGAGAGGCGAGUGGAAUUCCGAGUGUAGAGGUGAAGUUCGUAGAUAUUCGGAAGAACACCAGUGGCGAAGGCGACUCGCUGGACAGGUAUUGACGCUGAGGUGCGAAAGCGUGGGGAGCAAACAGG